GUCGAGAAUCUUCCGCAAUGCGCGAAAGCGUGACGGAGCGACACCGCGUGAUGGAUGAAGUCCUUCGGGGCGUAAACAUCUUUUAUAAAGGAGGAAAUUUUUGACGUUACUUUAUGAAUAAGGGGCUCCCAAUCUCGUGCCAGCAGGAGCGGUAAUACGAGAGCCUCAAGCGUUAUCCGUAAUCAUUGGGCGUAAAGGGUGCGUAGGUGGUUUGAUUAGUCUCCCGUUAAAACUUCGAGCUUAACGCGAAAAGAGCGGGGGAAACGGUCAAACUAGAGUAUGUGAGAGGUGUGUGGAACUCAUGGUGUAGGGGUGAAAUCCGUUGAUAUCAUGGGGAACACCAAAAGCGAAGGCAGCACACUGGCACAUCACUGACACUGAGGCACGAAACCUAAGGUAGCGAAUGGGAUUAGAAACCCGUGUAGUCC
rnacentral:rRNA from 1 species